CCCCUGGUGACCCCAAGGGAGACACCAACCCUCUCUCCGAGCCCCUCCCCAACCCAGCUCAGCUCAACAAAGUGCACCCCAGAGGGGGCCACAGCCAAGACAGAGCUCCCUGAAAUGGCCCAGGGCUCUUGUGACGGCUCCACACGGAUUUCUAAGGAAGGCUGGGUGGUCAGGCACUUCAGCCAUGAUGUACCUCUGCACAAUAGCCGGAAGAGCAAUGGGACCAAUCAGUUAUGGACCAGGCCCUGAGAAACUGUGAGCCCGAGAAAACCUUUUCCUCUCAUGAGCCUGUCUCUCUCCAGUAUUCAUUAUACUGACAGGAAGCUGAGACAGAGCAAGCUCAUUCCUGGGGGAACAUCACAGGCAUCCUGAAAAGGCCUGGUGCAGCUCUUGUGCCAUUAUAGCCGGGCGAACUUGGUGCACACGAGGCCAAGAGACUCCAGCAUGAUCCAGGGAGCAUGGCCUGCUAGCAACACAUUCUGCAUAAGAAAUCUUCAUGGUUGGCGAGAUGGCUCUGUGGGUGAAGGGACAACCUGAGUUCCAACACCAUAACCCAGGCAGCGCCAGAGGGGGGUGGCAUGACCAGCCAGUCCUACAGAGAGACAGGAGGUAGAGACAACUGUCUGGAAGCCUGUGGAGCAGUUAGCCCAGCACACACGGUGCAGCAGCAGACACGGGUGCCUUCUGAGUGGCACUACAGAGACCCAAGCACAGAGCUGUCGCCCAGCACAGUGUGGGAACCUUGGGGUUGGACAGCCUGGGUUGGGCAGCCUGGGGUUGGGCAGCCUAGCCUACAGCAAGUCUAAGAAUGCAUUGGGCAGGGCAUGGUUGUCUAACUCCUUUCAUCCCAGCAAAUCUCAGUGAGUUCAAAGCCAGCCUGAUCUACAUAUCAAGUUCCAGGACAGCCAGAAGAGAGAGACCCUGUCUCAGAACAAAAACAAAAUUAAACAAAGCAAAAGUAAUGUCUUGGCAGAGCUGGAGAGAGAGCUCAGUCAGUAAAGUGCUUUCCACAAAACAAUGAAGACCUGAGUUCAGUCCCCAGGCCCCACACAAGAGUGUCAGGUGUGGUGAUGCAUGUUGCAAGCCCAUCACUGGGCAGGUGGAGACUGGUGGAUCCCUGGGGGCUCGCUGGACAGUCAACCAAAUUGGUGUGCUCCAGGCCAUGGGAAAAAUCCCAUCUCAAAAGCUGAGCAGUGGCCCUAAAAAUGACACUUGAGGUUGUCCUCUGACCACAUGCACACAAGUGGACUGUCACAUAUACACACACACAUACACACAUGCAUACAUAUAUGUGUACACACAUACAUACAUACAUACAUAUACAUACACACAUGUGCAUAUAAACAUAUAUACAUAUGCAUAUACACACAUACAUACAUAUACAUGUACACAUACACGUGCACACAUACACACACAUACACAUUCACACACAUAUACACAUUCACACCACAUAUACCCACAUACAUACAUACCCACAUACAUACAUACACAUACAUACAUACAUACAUACAUACACAUACAUAUAUACACACAUCUACAUACACACACAUACACACAUAUAUGCUUACACACACAUUAAUACAAAGAAAAAAAUCUUAAGAGGGACCUGGUCUCCCAAGACCUAUCUAUCACUUUCCCUCCUCUCCCUGCUUGCUGCUGACAGAGCCCAGGUCCCCGCACCCCUCUACCCCACGUGUGUGGAGCCCCUCCUACCUCCCACCAGCAGUGCAAAGAUUUUCUAGCCUGAGCCCUGAAGGAUAAAUGUUGUUUUUUUUAUCCCCCUUCCAGGGUGCCAGAGUUCAACUCAAUUUUCUC
rnacentral:lncRNA from 1 species